rnacentral:rRNA from 1 species
AUUGAACGCUGGCGGCAUGCCUUACACAUGCAAGUCGAACGGUAACAGGUCUUCGGAUGCUGACGAGUGGCGAACGGGUGAGUAAUACAUCGGAACGUGCCCGAUCGUGGGGGAUAACGGAGCGAAAGCUUUGCUAAUACCGCAUACGAUCUACGGAUGAAAGCAGGGGACCGCAAGGCCUUGCGCGGACGGAGCGGCCGAUGGCAGAUUAGGUAGUUGGUGGGAUAAAAGCUUACCAAGCCGACGAUCUGUAGCUGGUCUGAGAGGACGACCAGCCACACUGGGACUGAGACACGGCCCAGACUCCUACGGGAGGCAGCAGUGGGGAAUUUUGGACAAUGGGCGCAAGCCUGAUCCAGCCAUGCCGCGUGCAGGAUGAAGGCCUUCGGGUUGUAAACUGCUUUUGUACGGAACGAAAAGACUUCUUCUAAUACAGGAGGUCCAUGACGAUACCGUAAGAAUAAGCACCGGCUAACUACGUGCCAGCAGCCGCAGUAAUAC